UUGCAAGAUGCCACGAAGAAGAAUGUGACCAUCACAGCUGCACUGUGACGAGCGGAAAGUUACGGUCACGGGAAAAUACAACAAAAGUGUCCUUCUGGCCACCACUGAAGCAGUUUUCGACAUCACCACGCUGAGGGAGACUUGGAUACGAUGGAGAAUAAAAAUCCAUCAAGAAAGACAACGGACACACAGAAAAUUAAGGACAUGCAGUGCUACACAAAUCCCUCAAAAGAGGAAUCCGGGUGUUUUGCAUUUGUAGGAUGGGAGGAUGGUUAUACCGGCAAAAUCUUUACAGAGCUGCCAUUUUGAAAAGGGAUGAGGCUCCAGUACAGCUGCAAGAUCUUCGAUCAGGAGAUCCCGUUUUAGCAAAAUGGUCAGAUGGUGCUGAACCAUCAUUUGCCCUCGCAUGUUCCUAUUUGAUGCACUUUUUGAUCACUUUUUCCUUAUUGAAGAGUGUCAACGUGCAAUCCCUUUCGGUCGUCGUGCAAUCCCUUUCGGUCGUCCUGGCAUCAACGCCUCAGAAAAGGGGGUCCUUGACCAGAAAAAAGUCACAGGAAUCAUGACCUAUGUCGUGAGGUUUUCGAAUUUGCCUGGGAAUUUGCCUGACUGGGAUCAUAUGGAGGAGGCAAACUAAAAAAAAGCCUUUGCAUAUAAAUGUAGAGCAAGAGCCAUUUCGUAGGAGUGCUGUAUCUCCAAAUUCUCUCCAGUUGAGGUUUACCUACAGGUAGUCCCCGAUUUACGAACAAGUUCCGUUGCUGUGUUGGCGCCGUAGCUCCGGUGUUCUGCCAAAAUCUGCAUCGGUGAAACGUCUACUUGAGUCGAAUUUGACACCCAAAGUAGUACUGUGCGCGCUCAACUUUUUUGUUUAGAUGCAUACAGGGAGAACGUACUAAAAAAAUGCCUUGAGAAAAUACUUAAAUGUAGUUGUAUUAAAUACAGUUUAAAUGCGCUACGUGACCAAUGUGGUCAACUGCUUUAAAGCUAGAACAAAAAAAUGGUUAAAAGUAUGAGAGGGUAAUAACAUGCAAAAAGUACUUUUGAGGCCAUGAAAAGGUACUAACUAAACUCAAUAAAAACAAAAAUAGUGAGUACUAGCCGAUUUGCGAAUGCUUGCGCAAGCGCGCUGAGGACACAGGAUUUCCACAUAAGUCGGCAUGAACCCUUUAAGUACCUCAAAACACCUUCUAAAAAACAUCCCAAAACACAGAU